AUUCCAGCUACAAUUUCCAGCCACAGAGCUCCCACAUCACACCAACAUUUGUGCAGAAAGGUCCUUCAAUACUGAGGAAGAUAUGGAACCAAACCUUCCAGGACAGUCAUCUUCAAACACAUCACUACCCCCUCCAUCAACACAAACUACAGAGGUGUGGAAAACUGCAGCCCCAUCUGAGGCUGUGCGCCUCUUCAUGGAGGAGCUGAGGAGACGAGCAAACCACCUGCCACCUCUACAGCUGACUCUAAAUGCAGGGGACACUGAUGAAGAGCGGGAUGGUGCCCUAAUUUCCUUUUACAAACAACAACGUCAGACGUGCCAGUGGGCUGCUCAUUUCAGUUGCAACAU